rnacentral:rRNA from 1 species
AUUGAACGCUGGCGGCAGGCCUAACACAUGCAAGUCGAGCGGAGCGGCGGACGGGUGAGUAAUGCCUAGGAAUCUGCCUGGUAGUGGGGGAUAACGUCCGGAAACGGGCGCUAAUACCGCAUACUACCAGAUGAGCCUAGGUCGGAUUAGCUAGUUGGUGGGGUAAAGGCCUACCAAGGCGACGAUCCGUAACUGGUCUGAGAGGAUGAUCAGUCACACUAGAACUGAGACACGUUCCAUACUCCUACGGGAGGCAGCAGUGGGGAAUAUGGGACAAUGGGCGCAAGCUUGAGCAAGCCAUGCCGCGUGUGUGAAGAAGGGCUUCGGAUUGGAAACUGCUUCCGGCGGGGAGGCGGUACCCGCAGAAGAAGCACCGGCUAACUCCGUGCCAGCCGCCGCGGUAAUAC